GAUGAACGCUGGCGGCGUGCCUAAUACAUGCAAGUCGAGCGAACAGACGAGGAGCUUGCUCCUCUGACGUUAGCGGCGGACGGGUGAGUAACACGUGGAUAACCUACCUAUAAGACUGGGAUAACUUCGGGAAACCGGAGCUAAUACCGGAUAAUAUAUUGAACCGCAUGGUUCAAUAGUGAAAGACGGUUUUGCGGUCACUUAUAGAUGGAUCCGCGCCGCAUUAGCGAGUUGGUAAGGUAACGGCUUACCAAGGCAACGAUGCGUAGCCGACCUGAGAGGGGGGUGGGCACCAGAGAAGCUGACCCACGACACUGGGACCUAGGGGGGGCCCCGACGGGGACUUGUGCCAAAAGGGGGAAAGACUGCACGAUGAACGGCGGGCGGGUGCAGCAACUCCGCGUACGGUAAAACUGCUUUCGUGGGGAAAAACAAAUUGGCAAGUAACUAAGCGUGUUUGACGGGAACCUAAAAAGAAGCACCGGCUAACUACGGG
rnacentral:rRNA from 1 species